AUCUUCGGCAAUGGACGCAAGUCUGACCGAGCGACGCCGCGUGUGCGAUGAAGGCCUUCGGGUUGUAAAGCACUGUCGAGAGGGAACAAGCCGCAAGGUUGAGUGACCUCUGGAGGAAGGACGGGCUAAGUUCGUGCCAGCAGCCGCGGUAAGACGAACCGUCCAAACGUUAUUCGGAAUCACUGGGCUUAAAGGGCGCGUAGGCGGGCGAUCAAGUCAGGGGUGAAAUCCUCCAGCUCAACUGGAGAAGUGCCUUUGAUACUGGUUGUCUAGAGUGAGGUAGGGGCAUGUGGAACUUCCAGUGGAGCGGUGAAAUGCGUAGAUAUUGGAAGGAACACCAGUGGCGAAAGCGAUGUGCUGGAUCUCAACUGACGCUGAGGCGCGAAAGCUAGGGGAUCAAACGGGAUUAGAUACCCCGGUAGUCCUAGCCCUAAACUUUGGGUACUAGAUUGUGGACUAACAUGGGUUCACAGUCGAAGCAAAAGUGUCAAGUACCCCGCCUGGGGAGUAUGGUCGCAAGGCUGAAACUCAAAGGAA
rnacentral:rRNA from 1 species